rnacentral:rRNA from 1 species
CCCUUAGAUGUUCUGGGCUGCACGCGCGCUACACUGAUGCGCUCAACGAGUUUUAACCUUGCCUGGAAAGGUUGGGUAAUCUUUUUAAAACGCAUCGUGAUGGGGAUAGAUUAUUGCAAUUAUUAAUCUUCAACGAGGAAUUCCCAGUAAGUGCGGGUCAUCAGCUCGCGCUGAUUACGUCCCUGCCCUUUGUACACACCGCCCGUCGCUACUACCGAUUGGAUGGUUUAGCGAGAACUUUGGACCGGAGCUCGGGUGGUCAGCAAUGGCCGCCCGAGACAUACUGGGAAAUCGCUCCAGCUUGAUCAUCUAGAGGAAGUAAAAGUCGUAACA